GACGGAGGAUGCAAGUGUUAUCCGGAAUUACUGGGCGUAAAGAGCUCGUAGGUGGUUUGUCGCGUUGUUCGUGAAAACUCACAGCUCAACUGUGGGCGUGCGGGCGAUACGGGCAGACUAGAGUACUGCAGGGGAGACUGGAAUUCCUGGUGUAGCGGUGGAAUGCGCAGAUAUCAGGAGGAACACCGGUGGCGAAGGCGGGUCUCUGGGCAGUAACUGACGCUGGAGGAGCGGAAAAGCCGUGGGGAGCGAACAGG
rnacentral:rRNA from 1 species